GGAGAGAUGUUCGAGCGGUUUAUGGAGCUGGUCUUGAAAACCAGAGGCGUGUUAAAGCGUCCGAGGGUUCGAAUCCCUCUCUCUCCUCCA
rnacentral:tRNA from 1 species